UUGAACUGAAGAGUUUGAUCAUGGCUCAGAUUGAACGCUGGCGGCAGGCCUAACACAUGCAAGUCGAGCGGAUGAAGAGAGCUUGCUCUCUGAUUCAG
rnacentral:rRNA from 1 species